GGGCACGGGCGGCACGGCCGCAUGGCGCGACCGUCCCCUGCAGUGGUGCAUAGGCGGCACAGCCAGCCCCGACAACCAAGCCACGGGCGGUGGAGCGGCCGGUCCCUGUGGCAGGCACGAGCUGCGCGGCCGGCCCCUACGGCGGGGCAUGGUGUGGCGGAACCACCUCGGAUUAGCUUUAUUAAUCAGAGUUCAGCCGCCUGACAUGCGACACUCCUGAUUAACUCGAGCUAACAUGAAGCGUCGUCGGAUUUCAUCCGAUUUUAACCACUUUCAACAGGAUCGAGUUCAGUAAACCCACACGAAGGUGAGCGGUUACAGAGAAUACAACAAGUCCACUGAGUUUAAACAGUCUUACUCAAGAGUUCGGUCAUAAAAUUUUAACAUCAGAGUUUUAUAACAAAAGACAACAGAGAAAACACUAGUGGAAGACUUCGUCGGGGUCGGACGUCUGGGCGAGGCCAGCCAGAACAUCACUGAGUCCUCUCCUCGCCGUCCGAGGAGGGGUCCCACUCGAUCGUCCAGCCUGGCGGGAGCUGGGGCGGCCAAGCACCAACAAGGGAGGGGUCGGGAACUGCAACUUCACCUGAAAAACGGGAGCCACAACAAGGCUGAGCUACUAAGCUCAACAAGACUUAACCGAUAGGAGUAAGGGCUACUCCUCCUUCUAGACAUGCAAGGCUUCUUGGCUGAGGGGUUUGUUUUGCCAAAAGCACUAAGUAACCUAUUUUUAAGUUUUAGCUCCGGUUCUAGAUUUACUUACCAGUCUAGGUUGUGCAACCUAUUCUAAGCAAACAUAGAGCCAAACAAGGUGUGUAGAUAAAAACAACCACAUUGCCAUCAUCAGAUUCCUCACUUACUCAGGGUGACAUAGCGAUCAAGCAAUCUCAAACUGUGAGAGGCAGACGAAUCGAUUCGAGUUCUUUAACCAUGCAUGGUGAACCUAGCCCCACGACAUCCGCGCACCCGGAGGUCGCUUCCUGUGUCGGCCUUCCCCAUCGAUCCCCUAACCCGUGUCGGGCCCAUUUCCUUUGGUGCAAGGUUCCACAGACCCGGUCUCUGCCGUUCUGUAACCACGCUUUGCCACCACGUGCGACAACCAGCAGGGGAAACUCCGUUCCAAGAACAAUGGGGCGACCGCUCACGUCUAGGUUCAAUCAGGUACUAGGCUUCCUCAUCCCAUACUAAGUAUGAGGCUAGUACUUUCAAACACUUGAUCACGAACACCACCACUGUCGGGCCUUAGCAAGUUUUCAUAGACAGACGGGGCAACCAUCCGACCACCAAAGUGUUACCCAUCCCUGCCCCGUCCAUCGUCCUUAUAGUUGUAACAGGAGAGUAAACAUGCAACUCCUACAACUCGCGAGUGACAGGAGAUCACUCGGCUUUUACCGUCUCCUAUUUAAGCAAUGCAGCUACUCGGUCCAACAGCUAGUGCUCAUAUCAAGGGUCACUAAGUCAUGUAUCUAGGGUUUCACACAACUCCUAAACGUAAAUGCACAAACAUGCUAUUCGGAAGGCAUGUGCAAGUUUGACAAGAACACAUAGGAUUUCCAUGCAACCGGGGCUUGCCUGCAAACAAAGAGGGCGGAAACUGCUCGACUUCGGGGGCGGCUUCGACUUCAGCGGGCGGGAACUCGGCUACAGCUUCUUCUUCGGGCGCCGGGUGCAGCUCGUAGAAGCCGACAGCGAGAUGCAGCUCUACACGGAUGCAAUGCAAAGGUUAGCUUUAAACGUUUGAUUUGACCGCAACACUGGCUCUCCUGAGCCCAGAAACUUGCGACAAAGAGCAGGAGUGGAGGCUGUUUGAGAGAGCUGAUGAUGAUCAACAGGUAAGGGUAGGAAAGAAACGAGUGGUCUGAUCCUUGAACUAGAGGGUGUGAUAACUGGGAUCCUCAUACGUAAACGCUGAAGGGUUCUCAUGUUUUACACUUACACCCUCAAGUUGAAGAAAAGAUCACAGCCAGACCCUUGGGUGAGGCGGACAAAGGUCGGCAAACAGACAGGGUCGGACGAGACGGAACUGGGGUCGGGCGGAUAGGAGGGGUCGGUCGAGGUGAACUUAGGGUCGGCACUCACCUUCUUCCUGAAAGGAAAGCUUGGGGUCGGGAAGAGGCAGACUUGGGCACGGAACUAAAGCUUUGAGCAGGGACUAAGGCCGGCGGUACUCCGGCGGCGGUGCUUCUUGCAGAUCGCAAGAGAGCUCUUGCGCAGCACAAGAGAGCAAGCUGCGGGGUGACUUGGAUGAACUGAGAAGGAACUGGGAGAAGAACUUCUCAAGAUUGGGCGGAUGGCGCUAGGAGCUUGAGCAGAGAGCUAGAGGGAACCAAGGGCAACAAAAGCGGAGGGGACUCCGGCGAUGGGGGCAUUCCUUUUAUAGCUGCGGGAGCAGAGGAACGGAAACGUCGUGGAGAGAGAGAAGGGAAGCGGCGCGAAGGCCGGGGAGAAGCAAUGGAGUGCUCUGCCGUGGCGGCGAUUGAGCAAACCGGGCGGUGCAACAGAACUCCGGGGGUGACGCCAGCGAUCAUUGCGCUACUCCGUCAGGGCGGCGUAGGUGCGGGUAGACCGGUAGUUGAGAUUUGGCGGAAAGCAGGCGUCGUCGUGCGGAAGAGGUGAUAGAAGCGACCGGUUAAACGGCGCUAGGAUCGAGGGCGCACAGGUGGGAGAACAAGCGGACGCGGCGCGGGGGAGAGCGUGGAACAACAGAUUGUCGGGCGGCGUCUGACAGGGCGGGGAAAGGAACUGUCGCGGCCGUGGUCGGGGUUGGCGGUGGGGGGGAAUCGUCGUGUAGCGACGACCGGGCGGCGCAACUGUUGCUGGAAAGGACGGAAAAGACGGGCGACAUCGGUCUCCGGGGCCGAGGUCUGGUAUCGUGAUGAUUGGCGCGGGGAGCGAGGCUCUGCAGAAAGGGGGUGCAGAGGGCUUCCGCUGCUAUUGGGGAAGAGGGCGCGGGAACCCACUCGGUCGCUUGCCAGAGACAAAACUGAGCGGUGGCGUCGGAGAAGGCGAGCCACGCGGCAGGAAGGUUCUGAGGCGGCCAUGCAACUCGAGUGCGGCUGAUGCGGGGAAUCUGGAAAAAGAUCUCGCGGGUCCACCGGGGAAAAGAUCGGACGGGUGAGGAAGAUUAACAGGAUCCGACGGAUGGCUGAACUCGCCAGGGUCGGGAAAAAAAGAACGAAGCAGUAGGGGUCGGAUCUCAGGGGUCGGAACUGGCGGAAAACUGAGCACUUAAGUGCGAUCAACAGAACAACUGACGGAGGUUUAAGGGCUGAGAUCAAACCUAACUGGGAGAGAUUAGGGGUCGGUCGUUACACAUGGGCAGCGCGUGUUGAUGAUGGGAAGGGCCGGGCACCGAAGGAGCUGCAACGCCGGCAAAGAAGAACAAGCCAUCGAUGCUCCGUAUGUCGUCCACGAAGGCCACGAUCUGUCGCAGGUACCUCACGAGCUGCCAUGCAAAUCUCUGCAUCCGCAUCCUAUAACCAAUCAUUAUUAGUAGGGAGCUUAGCUUGUACUUGAUGUGUUACUUGUAUCAGAUUUGUGGUCACUCUGCUAGCUUGUGCUCGAUUUGUGACCAUGUACUUCAAUACGAUUCAUGACUGUGACUAGUUUACUAAGAUUGGUUAUUUUAAACUUCUGAUCCAUCUGUUUGUAGAGUGGUUGAUCCC
rnacentral:lncRNA from 1 species